rnacentral:rRNA from 1 species
GCUAAUCUGCGAUAAGCGCCGGUAAGGUGAUAUGAACCGUUAUAACCGGCGAUACCCGAAUGGGGAAACCCAGUGUGAUUCGUCACACUAUCAUUAACUGAAUCCAUAGGUUAAUGAGGCGAACCGGGGGAACUGAAACAUCUAAGUACCCCGAGGAAAAGAAAUCAACCGAGAUUCCCCCAGUAGCGGCGAGCGAACGGGGAGGAGCCCAGAGCCUGAAUCAGCAUGUGUGUUAGUGGAAGCGUCUGGAAAGGCGCGCGAUACAGGGUGACAGCCCCGUACACAAAAGCG